GAUGAACGCUAGCUACAGGCUUAACACAUGCAAGUCGAGGGACCGGCGCACGGGUGAGUAACACGUAUCCAACCUGCCCUUUACUCGGGGAUAGCCUUUCGAAAGAAAGAUUAAUACCCGAUAUAAAGGCUGGGGAUGCGUUCCAUUAGGUUGUUGGUGAGGUAACGGCUCACCAAGCCUUCGAUGGAUAGGGGUUCUGAGAGGAAGGUCCCCAACAAUGGAACGGAAACACGGACCAAAAGCAUACGGGAGGCAGCAGUGAGGAAUAUUGGUCAAGGGGCGCUAGCCUGAACCAGCCAAGUAGAGUGAAGAAUGAAGGCUUAUGGGUCGUAAACUUCUUUUAUAUAAGAAUAUGUAGUAUAUGAAUAAGGAUCGGCUAACUCCAUGCCAGCAACCGCGGUAAUAC
rnacentral:rRNA from 1 species